AAACUUUUUAGACUUUGUACUGUGAAUUAUGCUGAACAGGAUAUUAUGACUUAUGUCUUUGAAAAUUGCUUCGUAAGUCAAACUUAACAUCAUGGUUUCUGACAACAGCUUCUUAUUAUUGCAAGGGAUGACCUUUACCUGCUCAGACACCAGGCUAUGGGGAACCCUGUGGAACCAACAUGUACGUUUACUACCUUCUUUCUUUGUUUCUUUAUUAAUGGACACAACUGAAGUUCCAUAAAUUCUCGUAGUAAAAGUCACAUUAAGACACAAUCAGAACGCCUCAUGCUGAACCGAUCCUCCCCACAACCAUCCUCCAACGUUUGUUUAUCAUGUCAGAGUUUUAACAUGAAAGAAAAA